AUUGAACGCUGGCGGCAGGCCUAACACAUGCAAGUCGAGCGGAUGAAGGGAGCUUGCUCUCUGAUUCAGCGGCGGACGGGUGAGUAAUGCCUAGGAAUCUGCCCGGUAGUGGGGGAUAACGUUCCGAAAGGAACGCAAAUACCGCAUAAGUCCUACGGGAGAACGCGGGGGAUCGUAGGACCUCGCGUUAUCGGAUGAGCAUGUGUCGGAUUAGCUAGGUGGUGGGGUAAAGGCCUACCAAGGCGACGAUCCGUAACUGGUCUGAGAGGAUGAUCAGUCACACUGGAACUGAGACACGGUCCAGCCUCCUACGGGAGGCAGCAGUGGGGAAUAUUGGACAAUGGGCGAAAGCCUGAUCCAGCCAUGCCGCGUGUGUGAAGAAGGUCUUCGGAUUGUAAAGCACUUUAAGUUGGGAGGAAGGGCAGUAAGUUAAUACCUUGCUGUUUUGACGUUACCAACAGAAUAAGCACCGGCUAACUUCGUGCCAGCAGCCGCCGUAACAC
rnacentral:rRNA from 1 species